rnacentral:rRNA from 1 species
GACGAACGCUGGCGGCGUGCUUAACACAUGCAAGUCGAACGGUGACCUCGAGAGCUUGCUCUCGGGCGAUCAGUGGCGAACGGGUGAGUAACACGUGAGUAACCUGCCCCAGACUCUGGAAUAACCCCGGGAAACCGGAGCUAAUACCGGAUACGAGACGGAGUCGCAUGGCUACCGUCUGGAAAGUUUUUCGGUCUGGGAUGGACUCGCGGCCUAUCAGCUAGUUGGUGAGGUAACGGCUCACCAAGGCGACGACGGGUAGCCGGCCCGAGAGGGCGACCGGCCACACUGGGACUGAGACACGGCCCAGACUCCUAUGGGAGGCAGCAGUGGGGAAUAUUGCACAAUGGGCGAAAGCCUGAUGCAGCGACGCCGCGUGAGGGAUGACGGCCUUCGGGUUGUAAACCUCUUUCAGCAGGGAAGAAGCGAAAGUGACGGUACCUGCAGAAGAAGCACCGGCUAACUACGUGCCAGCCGCCGCAGUAAAAC